ensembl:snRNA U6 U6 spliceosomal RNA
GUGCUAGCUUCGGCAGCACAUACACUAAAAUUGGAACAAUACAGAGAAGAUUAGCAGGGCCUCUACACAAGGAUGACACGCAAAUUCGUGAAGCAUUGCAUAUUUGG